CAUAAAUAAGGACUGGUCCCUAACUGCAGGAAAAAUAUGUGCACUUCACAGAACAUUUAUAACAAUUCAUAAUUUAUUACUUUUGCCUCAGGCUGGGUAACCACAACAGAAGUUGCCAAAUAGGCCCUUUGAAGGUAGCUUGCGUGUCAGGCUCAAUGCUUGAAAUAGAGCCUGUUAUACCCUGUGAGCAAAGUCCUCUCGUAUUUCUUCUCGGCACGGCACAGAGAAACGAGAGAGAUUCUGCAGAACUUGUGUAUAAAUUCAUUUGAGCAUGCGCGAAGGUUGCUAAGCAACUGCCUAUUUCCCAGAAGAAGAUUUAAUAAGUAGUUUCCGGUUCAGAUCAAAACCGGUUAUAAAACUGGUGUCAAACUUGAAAUUACUCAUAAUUAUCCACGUUUUUGGAUUGUCGGCUCCACAAAGAAUAUACACAAGUUCUGCAGAGUCUCUCUCAUGCUGAGAAGAAAUACGAGAGGACUUUGCUCGCAGGGUAAGCCUGUUACUGAAAUCAAUAAAAAGUGGACAGUGAUUGGGAUGCACAAAAAUAACAACCAAUCAAAAUGGUGAUUGUUAAUUACGUAUCAGUCAAUUCCAGCAGUGCCCAUCCCCCCGAGGUAUUAGCCAUUUCUGGGAAGAAAAUGGCUAUGUCCACAAGCCAUUUGCAAUCAAAUUAAAUAUCAGUUUUCCAGCAAAUCUACCAAAUCCUCCAUGAUGGAAAAUGUCAAAAUCCUCACCCCAGGGCUAAAAAAUAUCGGCAAUAGCCCCACCCCCGUGAUUAGGAAAAGCUGCAAAGGCCCAGGGGUGGGAACUGCUGGAAUUAAUUGAUACAUUAGAUUAUCAAAGCUAAUUUAAAAUAUGACAAUAAUGGCCAACUUUUCCACCAAUAUCUCAAAACUAAAUAUUCCAAUUUUCAUCAAAUGGCCAGGAAUUACAUAUUAAAUAAUAAUAAUAACUGUUAUUGACUGCAGCAAAGGCAGUCAUUAACAUGGCCAAAAGUAGUUAAAGUACAAUUACAAGUACGGAAUAUCAUUACGUAAACAACAAUUUGGCAUUACCUUAAAAACAAAGCUAUUUAUUUCUGACCAAUGGGAAUUUUGCGUACGAAUCAUGUGCAUCAAUCCUUUUUACUGACCUCA